AUGAAGAAUAUUUGGCAAGAUGAUCAGUAUAAUGAUGAAACUGUACUAUUGUUUCAGGAUAGAGAUGAAGAAUUAAAUUCUCCCUCUCUAGUAGUCACUAAAAAUACCUUGCACCAAGGAAAUAUCCAUACCAUACUAUCCUUCCUGUCCUAGUGACUGCUGCAGACAGUGAGAAACUUCUGUGCUCCUUCAACAUGAUGGGUGGAUUCAGGCAGCCCCAAGGACAGGUGCAGGUAACGCUUGUGUUUUCAGCAAUCUACUGAUAGAUGGAUAGUUUCACUUCUUUAGCUACGGAGAGUUGUUUGCCUUUCCAGGCAGCCAGUAGAAACCUGCAGUCACACUGAGUCCUCCUACUUUGAUCCUUGUGUAUUUUCACUUAGCCAAUUGACCUCUGUUUUCUGGUAUAUUUACUUAUUUUCUUUGAGCCUCCAAAUCUCCUAAUUGUCAAACACUACAUAGAGGGGGCAGACUACUUCUGAAAAUAAAUUUUACAUUCAUAGCUUUAAAAUUUGUGCUUUUCCAAUGGGAAACUUGAGGAGGAAAGUAAUUUCUAGUGAUUUGUAGGUGUUUUUAUUCUGCUUAGUUACUGCUGUGUAAUCUGCUAGUGAUGCAUAGAAAGUGUAACUGUAAGGAUGAUGAGCUGGAGCUGUCAGAACUGUAUUCUUUCAUCAGUUAAAUUGUUGGAUGGAGUCUGUAACCACUUAUGUCACUGUUUUUGUGCUCUUCUUAGAUAUAAGUGUCUUUAUUUUUAAUUUAGUAUGCCUACUGAUAAUUUUUGUUUGAUGAAAGAUGAGAGGUAAUACAGGCCUGUGAAUAGUUUUUAAAAACAUGUAGCCAAAGCAUAUAUGCUGAAGAGUUGGAUUAAGCUUAGUCUGCUUUUUGUACAUCUGUUUUAUUCAACAACAGUUAUCCUGUUCCUGUUUCCUUUCCUUUGCAAUGCUCUGAGGGGCUUCAGGAAAACCCUUUUUCUCCUACAUCUCCUGUUAUAUCAUGCCUGAAUGAUCACAUACAUACAUUAUCCUAUCCUUGAGUCACUAUGUUCAAUGAAACACAUCUCUCGAGUCUGUAGGAAAGGCAUGUGCUCAUUCAGGCAUGUAUAAUUUGUAGCAAAAUUCUGCUGCUUCAGCCUCUGUUUCUAGAUGUUGAUAAGUCCUUGAGCUUGCUAACAUCGAGAUUUCUGAGUUAAACUUCCACAAGGAAAAAUAGCCCGUAAUGAUGAAUUUAAAAUAAUUUUCACAAAAACAGCUUACAUGCAAAUCAGGCAUAGAAUCUCAUUCCUGUUGUGAUAGCCUUCUUAUAUUCAUUAUCCAUUAAACAUAUGCUAGAUUAAUCAGCAACCCACUUCCAAAGUCUGUAUGUGAAAAACUGUGUGAUGACUUUAUAAUUGUAAUGGUUCUAAAGACAUAUUUUAAUUUUCCUUCAACCUUUUGUAUGACACUGAGUAGCUCUCAGUUAGGACAGUAGUAAGCCCUAUGACUUCACCUGGGUGGAGUGUAAUUGAUUAAAAUCUUGGG
rnacentral:lncRNA from 1 species